AGAAGAUAGGCAAGAGCUGUCCUUAAGGGGCUUGACUUCAGAAAGAAGGACGACUGCACCCAAAGGGAGCAAUGUCAUCGAAAGGUCUAGAAGCAGAGGAAUGAGAUUUGUUUUUGAGAAGCCCCUGCAAGUUUUCAUUCUCACUCACACUCCCCAGAUUGGAGAGCCUCGCCCCUUCCUGGCAUCUUGUUAUUUUCCAAUUAUCCUUUCCUGUAAAAUAGCCAUAUCAUAUUUGGGACAAGUACACAGCAUCGUAGUACAAAUGACUAGCUACCAUAUGAUUUUUAAAUAGACUCAAUUUUUAGAGUGAAAAAUAAUAUUUUCCAUGCAAAUAACAUUAGAAGGCAAGUUCUCGUCUUACCUGGGCCAAUACUGACUCAAUAUGUCCUGAGAAAAGAAAUUCAUGUUCUCCCCUAUUAAUUAAAUGGAAAUAGUAGCAAUUUUAUACAGGUAGUGUAAAUUUCCAGGGCAUUUUAGUGUGUCAGUAUGCUGAGAUUUUUUUUACUACAUUAAAGAACUGAUAACUAAAUCCAUUCAUGAUAUUAUGUAUUUGCUAAAUACAAGAAGAAAUUUAAAUCAUUUUAAUAAAGAUUACUUGGUGAUUUUUGUUUUAGUUGGGCAUUUUGAUUUUGGUUUGGUUUUUUGUUUGUUUGUUUGUUUGUUUGGUCUUUUUCCUGUUACAUAUUAACCAGGUAUUAGAUACUCUUGAAUUUUUCUUAUUUACUUCUAAUUCUAACCAUAUUGAGUCCUUAGUGUCAUUGAUUGAAGAGAGAACACUGAAGCAUAAAGAAUUCACUUCCCUGAGAGUAGAAAGAUGGUGCAGUCCAUUAAGAGCACUAGCUGCUCUUCCAGAGGACAUGGGUUGUACUCCCAGCAUCUAGCAAUCAUCUGUAACUCCACUCUCAGGAUCUGAUGCCCGCUUCUUCUUUCCACGGGUACUGCACACAUGCAGCACACAUAUAUGCAAACAGGCAAAAUACUCCUAUACAUGAAAUAAAAAUAAAUUAAAAAAAAAGAAUUUGCUUCCAGUCAAGUAAAAGAUGGAGGGAAUCUCACCCAGGUCUGUUUGACCCCAAGUUCAGUGCCAUUAAGUUAUGCCACAAUUUGAGACACCAGAGCCUAGCUCAUUAUGGUACUUUGACACCAGAGAACGGGACAAGUUUAGCUGAUUUUAGUAGGAGAGAAGGGUACUUAAUGAUUGAGCUACAAGAAUCGUCAGAGAGCUUUGAGGAGAGGUAUUACGUGGUGCAAGAAAGGAUAUGGAGAAGAACAAUAGUUCUCUGCUAUCCUCAGAUAAGUCCCUGUGCCAUGGGCUCUUUUUCCUGGCCUGGUGGCCCGUUCUCUCCAGCAAGGCUUUCGGGAUAGCCUCAUUAUUCUCUCAAAGACAGAAAACCCAGUAAUAUAGAUUAAUCUAAGAAAACCUUGGUUAGAAAGGCGAAUCUUGUAGGGAGCAUGAACAGGGCGUUAGAACCUGUUAUAGAUGGUUGUAAGCCACCAUGUGGUUGUUGGGAAUUGAACUCAGGAUUUCUGAAAGAGCAGACAGUGCUCUUAACCACUGAGCCAUCUCUCCAGCCCCAGGAAACAGGUUUUAAAAUACAUUUUGUAGUAUUAUUCUUUCUUUGUGUGCAUUGAAACAACCAGGAAUUGUCAGGUUUUGAGCUUCUGCAUCCAGAAACACAAGUGACCAUUUCUGCUUUACUCUUUUAUGGGCCCACCCUCGACCCCCACCGUCCCCACCCACUUCCUCUCCCUGCCUCCAUCCCAUCCCCAUAUGCAUGGGUUUAGAUUUAUAUAUGUCUUAUGACUCUGCUCACACCCUUAGGUUUGUAAUCUUUUGCAAAUGAUCUAUUGUGACAAGAGGAGACCUCUCUGUGCAGCCCACUGAGAAAGGGUUAGUAGAGAUAAACUCUCUGCCUGACAAAACAGGAGAUGGGAGAGCAGCAGGCUGGGGGCAAAAGUGAUGACUCAGCUCAGAUCUACAGAUUUCCUGGCCCCCAAAAUAGUUCGUUUUCAAAAUAUAUUAUUUAGAGUAAGGCCCCAAGCAAGAGGAAGAAUUGGAGCUGAUUUCCAGCUGGAGAUUCUGUGCUGGGGAAGAAAGCCUAUACUGAUUUGUAGGCAGAGCUGACCUUGGUAGGGGUGUUAAAUUUUCAGAGGAGAAGGCCAUCUGUUGGUUCUUGAGGGGCGGAGAUGAGGUGGGAUAAUCAUCUUUGUGGCAUCGUCAUCUUCUUUAUUCCUAUCUAGAAACUUCUAGGGUCUGAUCCCAAUCAAUCUUCAGAUGUUAUCUCUGUAUAGACAGAAUCAAAACUCAGUUAGAAUGAGCAGGUCAAGGUCACCCUAGGAAUUAGUGGCAGAAAAUAGACUAAAAUUCACAUUUCUUGUAUUCAGGCUAGUACCAGUUCCUUCGGCUACCUGUUAAAUAAUGCCACAUUCUUGCUGUGAUUUGCUCCAGGCAUCUGGCUACAUUUCUUCAUCUCCCUUAAUAUCAGGUUGCUUAUCUAUAAAAUGGCAAUAAUAGGAACUAUUUUAUUGGAUCACUAAGAAAAUAAGUAACCUAAGAUGAAUGGGAACAUGACUUGAACACGGAAAUGUGCUUUUUUUAAAGUGAGGUAUUUUUGAAUAAUAGAAUGAUGUUCCAGAUAGAUUUUAAAAAAAAGCAUUUAGUAAUUUAUAAAUCUUGGUCACUUUACCAUGGAAAUUUGGAUGCUGAGGAGCAAAUGAGGGAAAGAGGCAUUGAGAGUCAGACAAGACAGAAAGCACCAUAAUUUUCUUGUGCCGUAUGUGUGUAUGAGUGUAUGUGUGUGUGUGUAUGUGUGUGUGUGUGAUGUAUGUGUGUUUGUGUGUGGUGUAUGUGUGCAGUAUGUCUGUGUAGUAUGAAUGGUUUAGUAAGUAUGUGUGUGUUGUGUGUGUAUGUAUGCAUGUGUUUGUGUGUGUUGUGUGUGUGCAUGUGUUUGUGUGUGUUGUGUGUGCAUGUGUUUGUGUGUGUUGUGUGUGCAUGUGCCUGUGUGUAUGCAUGUGUGUGUGUGUGUGUGUGUGUGUGUGUGUAUGUGUGUUUGUAUACGCAUGCAUGUAUUCAUGCAAUGGUCAGAGGAAGACAUUAAGUCUUGUCCUCUGUGCUCUCUAUCUUACUCUUUGAGACAGAGUCUCUCACUGAUCCAGUAGCUCACUUUUUUUUUCUAAACUGGCAGUUACAAGCCACAUCAAUCUUUCUGUCUCUACCACCGACACCAACACUGGGAUUAGAAGGAAUACAUAGUCAUACCUAGCUUGUUGACAUGGGUACUCGGGAUCUGAACUCAGGUUCUCAUGCUUAUAGACUAGUAUCAUUUAUCCACAGCAACCUUUCCCCAGCCUUCCUGUGUUUUUCCUCUUGUUAAAGUACUCAUGAGUGUUCUUAAACAUCAUUUCUUCCCUUCAGCCAGCAAGUGCUGUUAUUUACCAGACAUAGUACUGAGAAUACUCUUGAGUGUUCUUAAACAUCAUUUCUUUUCUUCAGCCAGCACGUGCUGUUAUAUAGCAGACAUUGUGCUGAGAAAUACAAAUGCUCUGUUCCUUGUCCUCAAAAAGUUUGGAAUCUAGUGGACAACCAAACUAGACCAAUGAUCAAUGGAUUACAAAAGGAAUAUGUAGACUACAAGCAUGAUGUAUUCUUUCUAUAUGGCUAUACUGGGAUAGGUAUAGUACCUGUGGGACUAGGUAAGGCUGUCCUGAGGAAAGAAUAUUUAAGCUAUGGCUUGGGAGAAAAGCCUUGAUAGGCUAAAGACAGAGCAUCAAUCGGCCAUAAAGAAAGAAAGGAUCCCUCACUUUGGAAACAAAGAAGCAACAAGAGCAGGUUGGAAGAUGGUAGCAGAUGAGAAAAGGAGAGAAGCAGCCCUGGGUCACGGCAGAGCAGCCUAAGAGCAAGAAGUCUGUGUGCAGUUUUAUGCCACAUGCUGCUGGUUGAUGGGUUCCAAAAGGUGUGUAAACUCCUGUUCCCCAAUUUGGGAUUUCCCCUACAGUCUUCUAGGAUCGCACCUGUGCUUCCAAUAGAAAAGUCCUAACUAUUGACCCAGGGGGAGGGAAUAUAAGUAGAGUGAUGUAUUUGUAUUCCUAGCAAAAGAAGUUGGUUACAUCCCUUCAAAGAAGUGAAAUACACGUAUAACACAGGGAGUCUCCGAAGCAGAAUGUGUGUUCAUUGGGUUGAUUGUUGAUAUGCCUAGGGCAUUUCCCUGGGGGAACUGUUGAUUUUUUCCUCAAUGUUUGAUUGCUUAUUUGUGAUUUCAUUUAUUAAUUUAACCCAUAUUUAUGAAAUUAUUAUUCUACCAGAUAUUAUCUGGUUGAAAGGAAUGAGUUGCAUAAAUCUGCAGAGUGGGGUGGAGGUUUUGAAGAAAGAAGUUUGUAAAUUAGUCCUUGGACAUAGACAGGAUUCCCAAGGAUUUAUCAGAGAGGAGACACAUCUUAUAGGAACCAUGAAGAGGCAGACACAGAUAGGCAGAUCCAGGGAGUGUCAGCAAGCAGGGGCACAGACGGAAACAAAAGAUGAGAAAAACGAAGGCAAAGACACAGGGAACAUGAGCUGAGUGUGCUACAAAGCCGAACUUUAACCUUCACAAAGGGAAGUUCUGCAUUCAUGAUGAGAGUUGGUGUGUGAGAAGAUUCAAAAAGG
rnacentral:lncRNA from 1 species